AUGUACGGAAUCCUUUAGAGAUAGAGGAGUGCUCGAAAGAGAGCCGUAACACAGGUGCUGCAUGGCUGUUGUCAGCUCGUGUCGUGAGAUGUUGGGUUAAGUCCCGCAACGAGCGCAACCCUUGUCAUUAGUUGCUACAUUCAGUUGGGCACUCUAAUGAGACUGCCGGUGACAAACCGGAGGAAGGUGGGGAUGACGUCAAGUCCUCAUGGCCCUUAUAGGUGGGGCUACACACGUCAUACAAUGGAUGGUACAAAGGGUCGCCAACCCGCGAGGGGGAGCCAAUCCCAUAAAGCCAUUCGUAGUCCGGAUCGCAGUCUGCAACUCGACUGCGUGAAGUCGGAAUCGCUAGUAAUCGUGGAUCAGAAUGUCACGGUGAAUACGUUCCCGGGUCUU
rnacentral:rRNA from 1 species